ensembl:miRNA mir18-1 microRNA mir-18-1
CAUACGAUGUACUGUCUUUGUGCUAAGGUGCAUCUAGUGCAGAUAGUGAAAUAGACUAGCACCUACUGCCCUAAGUGCUCCUUCUGGCAUAAGGGGCUGUAAUAUG